rfam:Picea glauca, whole genome shotgun sequence.
GAGCAAUCUUGCUGCUCACUCAGAGCGAUGGCAUAGUUUGUCUUGAGAGGCGGCAAUAAUAAUGUUGUAGUAAAUUCUCCGUGCUGCUACGAUUCUCAAUACGUAACGAGCCUCGAACACUUUGCCACAUU